CUAUUAUUCUGGGGUGUCGCCUGGUGCCCCAGAGGCAUCGUUCAAGACACUGCUCCCUCAGUGCCACGCAGCCAUCGCCACGAUAGCUUACAGCUUGGCUUAGGGAACUGGUCCGCGGUAGCGGCCUUCCUGACCCCACGCAGGGUUUUACACCUGGGAGACCAGUUAUAGCCGCCACUGACCGGAGGUACCCUAAUCCCACACAGGAUUUUAUCCCUGGGGGACUCGGGCCCCUCCGGCCGUUCUCCUAUCCGCCACCCGGAGACGCGCCCGAUAGGUAGCUCAACCCCCGGGAUCGCAGGACAAUAAUAAUGAUGAUAUUUUAUCUGCUAUUCAUAAAGAUACAAGCGAGCCACAUAAUGAAGACACAACUGACCUUGGAGGACCUUGGCCAUGCAAAGUGUUGACAAAGUUGUUACAGAAAUGUAACCACGACACUAUGGAGAAAUUGGUCUGUGACCUAUUAGAUGUACUAUUUUCGAAGGAGGAAUUGGCAAUUUCCUCUUUGCCGGGUACAAAGUCCAAAUUUUCAAACAAGGCUGCCAAAAAACAAAUACUGGAUCCAUAGAAAGUUGCGGCAAUUAGAGCUUAUGUCUUCAAUAAAUUUUCACCUGGAAAUGACGAUGAGAAAAAGUUUCGGGACGCUGUCAAGCGUAAAUGCAACAACGCAUGCCCGAGGAACCGGCUACCACAAAAACAGAAAACAUAAUAUUUUGUAUUGUUGUACAUAAUAUUUUGUAUUAGUGUUAUUUUCUAUAAAUGUUUAUAUAUCUUUGUAAUUUUUAUAUU
rnacentral:lncRNA from 13 species